AUUGAACGCUGGCGGCAUGCCUUACACAUGCAAGUCGAACGGUAACAGGUCUUCGGAUGCUGACGAGUGGCGAACGGGUGAGUAAUACAUCGGAACGUGCCUAGUAGUGGGGGAUAACUACUCGAAAGAGUGGCUAGUACCGCAUGAGAUCUACGGAUGAAAGCAGGGGAUCGCAAGACCUUGUGCUACUAGAGCGGCCGAUGGCAGAUUAGGUAGUUGGUGGGGUAAAAGCUUACCAAGCCGACGAUCUGUAGCUGGUCUGAGAGGACGAUCAGCCACACUGGGACUGAGACACGGCCCAGACUCCUACGGGAGGCAGCAGUGGGGAAUUUUGGACAAUGGGCGCAAGCCUGAUCCAGCAAUGCCGCGUGCAGGAUGAAGGCCUUCGGGUUGUAAACUGCUUUUGUACGGAACGAAAAGCCCUGGGUUAAUACCCUGGGGUCAUGACGGUACCGUAAGAAUAAGCACCGGCUAACUACGUGCCAGCCGCCGCCGUAA
rnacentral:rRNA from 1 species